AUGAAUCAUGAGUGAGAGGCUCUGGGAACACCAAGUCCACACUACUCUACUUACAAGUCCUAAACUGCCUAGUGGGAUCCAACGCUGACCCCAGUGGAGUUCUUUACCCAUGACUGGUGUCCUCAGGAAUGUGUCUGUGGGAAGAAAAGUCUCAAAUGCUGGGGAAUGGAGCCAUCGAUAAUUUCUUUCCUAUGUUGGAGUGCAAGAGAGCCCCUAAGGCUGGAGCACUCCCCAAGUAAGCAGGCAGAGACAGAGACCUGAGUCCUACUGCUGAGUCAUUUAAAUCUGCUUUAGAUCGGGUUUUCCCAGGGCAUGGAAAGGACAGGGCUCCCAGUGGAGAUAUCAUGUAGCUAUAGGGCCUAGAAGUAUUUUUUCAGUAGAUGAAAUUUAGAAAUAAUUUGAAUAUUUUAUGCUGGGGAGGUAGCUUGUGGAGUGAAAUGGUCGGGUAAAGGAAACACUGAGUUCAAGUGCUUCUUUAUAAAGGACACUUAACUGAUCUAAAUAUUUGUCAAGCUGAAUCGCUACAUCCACUCUCACCUGCCUGAAAUCAAUAUGCUCAAGUCAAACGCAUUUGCCUGCAUCUGAAUGUGGAGAAUGAACUUCUUAAAGCUGAACUGGCAGCUGGAAGGGGAGAGAGAAGAGCUGGACAGGGAGCCAGGACACCGGAGUUCUUUUCCACUGUGGUGGGAUCUGGAAGAAGCUGUUGAAUCUCUGUAGAGUUAGCUUUUAAAUGCUGUGAGUCUUUGGAAAGCUGUGCGAAUAACUGCUAAACACCCAGGACAGCUUAUGCAUUUUUUGAAAAAGGUUCCUGGUGCUGGUUCCAGCAGAAUAGACACAGAGAUGCAUGGCCUAACUCCCACUCCCUCUUCAGGACUGAGCCACGCAGCCCCCCAUCUGCCAGAAGUGUUAGCUGUUGACGGCUCACAGCUGAGUCCCUCUCCAGGCAUUGCUGAAAAGAGCCACCUUGCUCUAGGAUGUGCCCCCACCCUGGGGGCAGCAUACAUUCCAAGUGAUUAGUCCAUAGUGUGGUACAAAGGUUGUACCCAUCUUGCCUGAAUUCAGGAUCUCUUGGAAAACCACCCCAGCUCUGCAGCUCCUGGUGGGGUGCUGAGGCCUCUGCUGCAGCUGCAUCGCAGUUUACUUUCCCCUCUGCCUAGUCCUGCUGCCUUCACUCCCCAACAGGUAUUGUUCCCCAGAGAACUCCCUGCCCCCAGUCACCUGUAAGCAAAUCUCCACUGCAGUCUGUGGCCUGGGAAACCUGCUCUAGGAUCCCAAAGUGAACACAGCUUCCCAUUGAAAUGUGUCUUUGGGUGUUAAUCUGUCCUGCCAUCUUUACAUCUAAUCAAGAGGUAGAGCUUCCCCUGGUGUUCCUGCUGGGUACAUAAAGGAUCUUUUCCAUUGUCUUUUAUGUCGUUUGUAAAUUGAAUCACCUCAUUUGUUCUGACCUGGAUAAUUUUCUCCGUUAAUGCUUGUGUUGGUUCGCAACACUGGGUCUCUGUAAGCAGACACCCUUACCACUUUUUAUUGCAUCCCAAGUACUUAUUUCAGAUAUUGUAAAACAACAGCUCUCCUUUAAACACCUUGAUUUUCUAUUACCUAAAUUUAGUUUCUUCUUUUGGUACUUGAAUUAUUUCCUUAGGGAAUGUAAAGAUCCCAUAAAUUCCUUUUUUAUUUCUUUUAUUCAUGAGAUUAUUCCUAGUACUUCUAGAUAGUAAUUUGAAAUUUAUUGAAAUAAAUUACAACAGGACCCCA
ensembl:lncRNA MYOSLID myocardin-induced smooth muscle lncRNA, inducer of differentiation